rnacentral:misc_RNA from 1 species
AAGUCGUAACAAGUUUCCGUAGGUGAACCUGCGGAAGGAUCGUGAACCUUCAUGUUUCGGUCUUACUUUUUAACUUCGAGGGCGUCUGGUGAAGACAUUCUUGAAGAAAAAGGGUAAGAUGCUUGUGCAUUAGGUGAGGGCGUCUAACGCUUGUGAGUGGGCAACUACAAGCAAGUGAAGGACAAUUUCUUGACUGGCAUCGUUGGAUUAAGUGGGUGAGAUUCCGUUGUCUGAAAUCGGUGCAGCCACACGCUUCACGGACCUCAUCUCAGAUAAUCCAAACGCUCGCCGCGGCAUGGUCCGCUUGAGCAUUCAAAAAACCGAACAACUGUCAAUGGAUAUCUUGGUUCUC